GCCGGGCAUAGUAGUGUGUGCCUGUAGUCCCAGCUACUUGGGAGGCUGAGGUGAGAGGAUUGCUUGAGCCCAGGAGGUCAAGGCUGCAGUGAGCGAUGGUCAUGUCACUGUGUUCCAGCCUGGGUUUUAGAGCAAGACCCUAUCUUUA
ensembl:misc_RNA Metazoa_SRP Metazoan signal recognition particle RNA